rnacentral:rRNA from 1 species
UACGGAGGAUCCGAGCGUUAUCCGGAUUUAUUGGGUUUAAAGGGUGCGUAGGUGGAUUUGGUAAGUCAGUGGUGAAAGUUUGCAGCUUAACUGUAAAAUUGCCGUUGAAACUGCCGGUCUUGAGUGCAAAUGAGGUAGGCGGAAUGCGUCGUGUAGCGGUGAAAUGCUUAGAUAUGACGCAGAACUCCGAUUGCGAAGGCAGCUUACUGGGAUGCAACUGACGCUGAGGCACGAAAGCGUGGGUAUCAAACAGGAUUACGAUA